UGCCCCAUGGCUGAGUUGGUUACAGCGUCCGACUGUUAUCUCCUGCGGAGAAGGUCAUCGGAAGGUCGAGAGUUCGAGCCUCUCUGGGGCAG